AACAAUUACAAGUCGGACA
rnacentral:siRNA from 1 species